AACAGAUUUUUCUAGGUUUGAGGUCUGCAGUGUGAAGAUCUGUGAAAUGCAAAAAGAGAAUGCUUCAGUGCCCAGGGCAAACAUAAGGGGCGGGGGAACUGCAUGGACUUCAGAAAAGAAGGGGGCUGGUUAGUGAGAGCAAAUGUAUGCUCCUUAGCUCUGUCCAAAGAGGAAGGGUAUUUCUUAUAAUAAAUGUCAUGCUCAUGACUGACAUGUAUUGGGCGUUUACUAUGGACUAGGCCCUAUUUCUAAGUGUUCUCCAGAUAUCAUCACGUAUAAUUCUAGAGGCAGUGUCAGACCCCGGCCAAUGACCACCAUGGACCUCCCUGUAGUUGAACAAAGUUGGGUUUGCUGACUGGUGGCAGUGAGGGAGAAUGCACACCACAGGGAGCUGUGCAGUGUCUCAGUAAGAAGCCAGGAGCCAUCCCAUGAGGCCGUUACUGCAAACAAGCUGAAAAUCCUGCUUUGUUUCUUUUGGACACAACAUGCUUUCCUUCAGCUUCAGUAGACGAUGAGGCCAGCACCACAUGGGCUAGAUGUACAUGAGAUGUGAGCAACCACACUUCCCCUCUGACGGGGACAGACAGCAUCACAGGACAUGAAGUUCUAAGAGUUUCAGUGACUUGUCUAAGAUUAAACAGCUAUGAAUGGAGAACUGGAGGAAAAUGCCUCAUCAUCUCUCACCUGGGCAACUGCAACAAUGAGCAGCUUGUGUCUGUGCCUGCAUCCAUCCUUCCAUCCUGUUCUCCAGCAGCAGCCAGGGUGGUCUUUCAAAAAUGCAAAGCUGAUAAUGUUACUCCCCUGCUGUAAACCUUCCAGCGGUUUCCUAUUGCCUUCAGAAUAAAAUACGAAUCGUCCGGCCUCCAUCUAUCUCUCCAGGCUCAUCCUCUCUCAAUUUUCCAUAUCCUUCAGUAUCCUGAUGGGACAGACAGAUGAAGAACCAGAGACCCAGAGAGGUUAAGUAGCUUGCCCAAGGUCACGCAGCAGUGUAAGCAGUACGGACGAUUCUUAAGCCCACAUUGUUUGACUUCUGAGACAUAUCAGAAAACUACAUCAAAGAACACGCACAACUCAGACCUAUUUCCAGUGGCCUAUGCAGAAGAGCUACCCUGCUUGAAUGGAAACCCCUUAAGAUAUACUAUUCUCGAAAACCUAAGUGCUUAGCCUGGUUUAUGGAGGAGGCAAUGCAAUCUACCACAAGAUGAUUAAGACAACAAUGAACUUAAGUCCCAGCCACUGCUGGAGAAUAUCUGCCUGUGAAUUCAAUUUGGUUCAAUUCAAUCCGAUUUAAUUCAGUGCAGUUAUU
rnacentral:lncRNA from 1 species